CGGAUGGAAAUUCCGGUCACCGUAAGACCAAGGUUUCCCGGGGAAGGUUCGUCCGCCCGGGGUUAGCCGGAUCCUAAGGCGAGGCCGAAAGGCGUAGUCGAUGGACAACGGGUUAAUAUUCCCGUGCCGCCUUAACGGAGUGAUGGAGUGACGCAGUAUGCUAAGCGAGCUGGCUAUAUGCCAGUCUAAAGUCGUAGGACGCCAGGGGUUAAAUGACCUGGCAUACGUCUGAAAACCGAUGGGACCUGAAGCCUUCGGGUAACAGGGAUUCGCUGAUGCUUUGCUGACGAGAAAAGCUCCUAAACGUUGAUGCUAGGGCGUCCGUACCGCAAACCGACACAGGUGGUCGAGGCGAGUAGCCUAAGGUGCGCGAGUGAAACCACUUCAAGGAACUCGGCAAAUUAGCCCCGUAACUUAGGGAGAAGGGGUGCCGAACGGGUGCAUAGCCCGGACGGUUUCAACAAAGAGGCCGCGGCGACUGUUUAACAAAAACAUAGCUCUCUGCCAACUCGCAAGAGGAUGUAUAGGGAGUGACACGUGACCAAUGCCGAAAGGUCAAUCGGAUCCGUUAGCAGCAAUGCGAAGCGGUGAUGUGAAGCCCCGGUGAAUGUCGGCCGUAACUAUAACGGUCCUAAGGUAGCGAAAUUCCUUGUCGGGUAAGUUCCGACCUGCACGAAUCGUGUAACGAUCGCGGCACUGUCUCGAAGUGGAGCUCGGCGAAGUUGUAAUUCCGGUGAAAAUGCCGGAUACCUGCAGUAGGACGGAAAGACCCUGUGAACCUUUACUGUAAUCUGAUAUUGGCAUUCGGGUGUUAAUGUGUAGGAUAGGUGGGAGGCUGCGAAGCAGGAGCGCUAGCUCCUGUGGAGCCAACGGUGAAAUACCACCCUUUAUAACUUGAAUGUCUAACCCUUGAACCGUGAAUCCGGUCGGGAGACAGUGUCAGAGGGUCAGUUUGACUGGGGCGGUUUCCUCCAAAAUUGUAACGGAGGAGCACGAAGGUACACUCAGAGCGGUUGGCAAUCGUUCGAAGAGCGUAAGGGUAUAAGUGUGCUUAACUGCGAGACAGACACGUCGAGCAGAUACGAAAGUAGGUCCUAGUGAUCCAGCGAUGGAACGUGGAAUCGUCGUUGCUCAACGGACAAAAGGUACUCCGGGGAUAACAGGCUGAUAGCGCCCAAGCGUCCAUAGCGACGGCGC
rnacentral:rRNA from 1 species